AAGCUGGAAUUGCUAGUAAUGGCAGGUCAGCAUACUGCCGUGAAUACGUUCCCGGGCCUUGUACACACCGCCCGUCACACCAUGAGAGUUGGAAAUACCCGAAGCCUGUGAGCUAACAGUAAUGAGGCAGCAGUCGAAGGUAGAGCCAAUGAUUGGGGUGAAGUCGUAACAAGGUAAC
rnacentral:rRNA from 1 species